AGCAGCCGCGGUAAUUCCAGCUCCAAUAGCGUAUAUUAAAGUUGUUGCAGUUAAAAAGCUCGUAGUUGAAUUUCGGGAUCAAAGGAUCGGUCAUGCCUUGGUAUGUACCGGUUUUAUUGGUCUCACCUUCUAAAGAACCAUAAUGUCAUUCAUUUGAUGUUAUGGGGAAUUAGGACUGUUACCUUGAAAAAAUUAGAGUGUUUAAAGCAGGCUCACGCUUGAAUACAUUAGCAUGGAAUAAUGAAAUAGGACGUUUGAUUCUAUUUUGUUGGUUUCUAGGAUCGACGUAAUGAUUAAUAGGGACAGUUGGGGGCAUUAGUAUUCAAUUGUCAGAGGUGAAAUUCUUGGAUUUAUUGAAGACUAACUACUGCGAAAGCAUUUGCCAAGGAUGUUUUCAUUAAUCAAGAACGAAAGUUAGGGGAUCGAAGACGAUCAGAUACCGUCGUAGUCUUAACCAUAAACUAUGCCGACUAGGGAUCGGAUGAUGUUAAUUUUUUUAAUGACUCAUUCGGCGCCUUAC
rnacentral:misc_RNA from 1 species